rnacentral:rRNA from 1 species
AUACGGAGGAUCCGAGCGUUAUCCGGAUUUAUUGGGUUUAAAGGGUGCGCAGGCGGCCAUUUAAGUCAGCGGUUAAAUCGUGGGGCUCAACCCCAUUCUGCCGUUGAUACUGGGUGGCUUGAUUGCGGUCGAGGUUGGCGGAAUUCGUUGUGUAGCGGUGAAAUGCAUAGAUAUGACGAAGAACACCGAUUGCGUAGGCAGCUGACCAGUCCGCAAAUGACGGUCAUGCACGAAAGUGCGGGGAUCGAACAGGAUUAGAUACCAUGGUAGUCCGCAGAGUAAACGAUGAAUACGUGUUUUCGGCGAUAUAAUGUCGGAGGCAAAGCGAAAGCGAUAAGUAGUCCACAUGGGGAGUACGCCGGCAACGGUGAAACUUAAAGGAAUUGACUGGG